rnacentral:rRNA from 1 species
GAUGAACGCUGGCGGCGUGCCUAAUACAUGCAAGUCGAGCGAACGGACGAGAAGCUUGCUUCUCUGAUGUUAGCGGCGGACGGGUAAGUAACACGUGGAUAACCUACCUAUAAGACUGGGAUAACUUCGGGAAACCGGAGCUAAUACCGGAUGAUAUUUUGAACCGCAUGGUUCAAAAGUGAAAGACGGUCUUGCUGUCACUUAUAGAUGGAUCCGCGCUGCAUUAGCUAGUUGGUAAGGUAACGGCUUACCAAGGCAACGAUGCAUAGCCGACCUGAGAGGGUGAUCAGCCACACUGGAACUGAGACACGGUCCAGACUCCUACGGGAGGCAGCAGUAGGGAAUCUUCCGCAAUGGGCGAAAGCCUGACGGAGCAACGCCGCGUGAGUGAUGAAGGUCUUCGGAUCGUAAAACUCUGUUAUUAGGGAAGAACAUAUGUGUAAGUAACUGUGCACAUCUUGACGGUACCUAAUCAGAAAGCCACGGCUAACUACGUG